rnacentral:rRNA from 1 species
GUGUCAGCAGCCGCGGUAAUACAGAGGGUGCAAGCGUUGUUCGGAAUUAUUGGGCGUAAAGCGCGUGUAGGCGGCUUGGCAAGUCAGAUGUGAAAGCCCUCGGCUCAACCGAGGAAGUGCGUCUGAAACUGCCGAGCUUGAGUGCCGGAGAGGGUAGCGGAAUUCCGCAAGUAGAGGUGAAAUUCGUAGAGAUGCGGAGGAACACCGGUGGCGAAGGCGGCUACCUGGACGGCAACUGACGCUGAGACGCGAAAGCGUGGGAAGCAAACAGGAUUAGAUACCCCUGUAGUCC